UACGAAGGGUGCAAGCGUUGCUCGGAAUUAUUGGGCGUAAAGGGUAGGUAGGUGGUGAUAUUUGUCUGAGGUGAAAUCCCUAAGCUUAACUUAGGACGUGCCUUGGAAACGGUAUCACUAGAGUACUGGAGAGGUUCGUAGAAUUCCCGGGUGUAGCGGUGAAAUGCGUAGAGAUCGGGAGGAACACCCGUAGCGAAGGCGGCGCUCUGGGCCGGUACUGACGCUGAGGAGCGAAAGCGUGGGGAGGCAAACAGGAUU
rnacentral:rRNA from 1 species